AAAACACCAAAACUGAAAAUUGUAGACUUGUCUUUAAAAAUGAUACAUCUCUAGGGAUGUUGUGGUGGGUAAAAAAACCUAACCCAGCCCAAACCCAUAAAAAAACCGCCCAUAAAAAUUCCAAUUUAAAAAAACUCGAAUGGGUUUUAGUACUUGUGGGUAAAACCCAGAAAAACCCAUAUAAUCCAGAACUACCCGUGGGUACCCAAAUGUUAUACAAAUAUAUUUUAAAUUGUAUUUAUUUUCUGUAUUCUAUAUUGUAUAUAUUUGGUGGGAAAAUGUUGAAUCACGUUUUUGGCGGAAAAAUGUUGAAUCGCGUUUUUUGGGGGAAAAUGUCGAAUCGCGUUUUUGGCGGGAAAAUGUCGAAUCGCAUUUUUGGCGGGAAAAUUGUUGAAUGUCGUUUUGGCGGGAAAAUGUUAAAUUGCGUUUUGGCGAGAAACUGUUGAAUCGCGUUUUUUGGUGGGAAAAUGUUGGAUUUCGUUUUUGGCGGAAGAAUGUGAAAAAAAUUGACGAGAAAAUAUUGAUUCACUCGAAAAAAGACCAAAAAAAACCUGUUGGUACCCAUAACUCAAUGAGAUAAACCCAUAUGGGCUUUAUUUAUUUGGAUACCCAGCCCAUUUUAAGCCUAUGUUUUUUUCCCACAAAAAGUUUAUGUGGGUUUUGGGUACCCAAUGGGUUUUAACCCAUUAUUAACAUCUCUAUACAUCUUCCAAAAAAGAAAGAGAAACCAUUCCAACACAAUAGAACAUUAGACAACUAGAGGGCAAAAGCAAAUCAUUCUUGGAU
rnacentral:sRNA from 1 species